GCGCCGGCCAACUACGUGCCAGCAGCCGCGGUAAGACGUAGGGCGCGAGCGUUGUCCGGAUUUAUUGGGCGUAAAGAGCUCGUAGGCGGCUUGUCGCGUCGACCGUGAAAACUUGGGGCUCAACCCCAAGCCUGCGGUCGAUACGGGCAGGCUAGAGUUCGGUAGGGGAGACUGGAAUUCCUGGUGUAGCGGUGAAAUGCGCAGAUAUCAGGAGGAACACCGGUGGCGAAGGCGGGUCUCUGGGCCGAUACUGACGCUGAGGAGCGAAAGCGUGGGGAGCGAACAGGAUUAGAUACCCUGGUAGUCCACGCUGUAAACGUUGGGCGCUAGGUGUGGGGGGCCUCUCCGGUUCUCUGUGCCGCAGCUAACGCAUUAAGCGCCCCGCCUGGGGAGUACGGCCGCA
rnacentral:rRNA from 1 species